GCGCAGGAGCAAUGUCACAGUCGCAACACCGAGACAGCGCCACCGAUUUAUUCUAAACUGAAUAAUAAUUGUUAUAAACCACAGAUACGGAUGUUCAUCCUUAUUCCAACAACGAUUUGCAUAACAUUUCCAAUCCCUUGUGAGGGUCGUGUAGUGGGGCCCGUGAGUGGCGGAUGAGGCUGGGGUCCAGCUUCAGCGGCGCCCUGCAGCCUCCCAAUGGUCUCCCCCACUAUGAAGGCACUGGUGGACGCUGUGUGGGCGGUGUGGAGCAUCGGUGCCUCCGUCUAUGACUACAUCCACACCAGCGCCAUGGAGGAGCGCAUCCACACGCUGGAGACCGUCAUCACCAUUCACCAGUGUGUCAUCGCAGCGCUGACCGCUGGAGUGGUGGUGCUCUUCACCUACAUACUGUUGAGGAAGCACUGAGGGGGAGUGAGGAAGGAGAAGCCACGCAGGGCCCAGGAGGCUAGUUUUGAGGACAACACAGGAUUACCAGAGUGAUCAGAAGCAUUGAGAGUGUGGGUCUGGAAAGUCAUCCAGAGCCCUGGAGAGGCCUACCGGCCUACAUGGAUUAGAUUGAGGAGGACUUGAUUAAUAAGGGAUUUUGGCUACUAGAAAAGUUUUUGGCUAUUUGGCCUUUAUCUCGGCUGCCAAUUGUACCAUUCUACUGCAGAGGUGUUGCUGGACACUGUGUCUCAGAGUCAAUGGUUUCACUCACUUUGCACACAUGGAAGAUGAAGACAUGGGCAGAGAUGGGCAAAAGAUGCAUGAAAAUAUAUCUUUUUACAAAUACAAAUACUUUAAAGACCAAUGUAUCAAACUAAAAUACAAAAUACUUUUGUGAAGAAUUGUAUUUACUACAACAAUAUUCUUAGUAACAGAAACAAAAAAACAUUUAACUUGCUAUGACUGUAAUAUGUGGUUGUUCAUCUACCUUGGUUGAAUGCACUGACUAAGUCACUGUGGAUAAAUGUCUGCUGAAUGACCUAAAUGUAAAAAUGUAAUAAUUGCAAAGCACACUUGGUAUUAUUAUUGGCCUUAUUUUGUGGGCGGAGCUCAUCAAUAAUACCCAGCAUGCUUUGCAGGAGUACAUUUGUACAUUUACAUGUUGUUCAUUCAGCAGACACUCAUAUCACACCAUAGUGCCGUGACUUCUGAUACCAAUGCAGGGUGAAAGGGGGCCUCCAAAUGUUGAACCGCUAUAAAAUAAAAAAGGAUAUAGAAAAUGUAUUUUGAAAAUAUAAAUGACAGGUCUCAAGUAUGUUACAAACUACAUUGGAUUGUAGUUCAGGCCAGUGAAAUACAAAUGACAAAAUACUCAAAAGCAAAUGAAAUAUGAAUUUCAAUUACAUGUAACAGGAAUACUGCCCAUCUCUGGAUGUGGGGAUGCUAAAACCACAGCGACGACUCAACCUGCAGAUUGUAAUCUAAUAACGCACUAAAGGGAUGAUAACUAUCAUUAGGUUUGACUGCCUUAAUAUGCCUCAAGUGGUUUCACUCCCCAGAUGGAAUAACAUUAUUAGUUAGUUUGGUUUUCAUGUUGGCUCUAAUUGAUUAUCCUGCCUGUAUGAUGCAUUGGAAAACUGGAAACUCCCUCUUCAAAACCAUAAUUGUACUAGGUGCCAGCCCAACAGUCUACAGAUCUAUAAUUGGAAGUCUUGGUCAUGAAGAUGAAAGUGUUCACUUAGAGGUUAACUAUUAUAUCACUCAGUGAGGGAGAGUGGAAUAUCAUGGGACGGGCUGAAUGUAUUCUCAAAAGGCCUUAUUUGUUGUAGAAAACUGGCCUCAAGGUUCUCCUGUGAAUUCCUCUGUAGGAGAAGGAGUUUCUGUGAAGCACUCAAAAGGUCAAUACACUGGUCGCCAUGAAUGCCAUUUAGUACAGUACAUGUUCUUUGAUAAAACUCCUUUAAAGCAUGUUUAUUUGAUAGUCUUGUAAUGCAAGACUUUGUAGUGGCAUUUCAUGGCGUUAGUUGAACAUGGCUAUAGCUGUGAAGGUUACGUCACUUGAAAGAGUAUUUAGAAGCAUCCUUACCUGUAAAAUAUGAAUCAACCUGAAUGUUUUGGUACAUUGUUUAUAAAUGUUUCAGUAAUGAUCACUCUUAACAUUUAAAAGGGUAUAAAACACAUUGUCGGACUUAAUAUAUUUAUGGCAGUUUAAGUGCAAUGUUAUGCUGUAUAGUUAAUUUAAAUUGUUCACUUGCUACAAUAUGACGAAUACACAAUGUUUGCCCUAUCAUCUUGUUCAGAUUGUCAAAAUGGGCCUCAAUGGAAUGUUUCAGGUAAAUCAAAUGUGACUUACAGGUGACAAACUGCCUCCAUGGAAACAAAACAUUUAAUCACCUUCUGGAUCUUUGUGUGAAUGUACAGUGCCUUCAGAAAGUAUUCAGACCCCUUGACUUUUUCCACAUUUUGUUAAGUUACAGCCUUACUCUAAAAUGGAUUAAAUAAAAACAUUUCCUCAGCUAUCUACUCACAAUACCCAAUAAUGACAAAGCAAAAACAAGUUCAUAGAUUUUUUUGCUAAUAAAAAAAAGAUAUGUAAA